rnacentral:rRNA from 1 species
GCAUAUCAAAUAAGCGGAGGAAAAGAAACUAACAAGGAUUCCCCUAGUAACGGCGAGUGAAGCGGGAAGAGCUCAAAUUUGAAAUCUGGCAGUCUUCGAUUGUCCGAGUUGUAAUCUAUAGAGGCGUUUUCCGUGCCGGACCGUGUCCAAGUCUCCUGGAAAGGAGUAUCAAAGAGGGUGAUAAUCCCGUACUUAACACGACCACCGGUGCUCUGUGAUACGUCUUCUACGAGUCGAGUUGUUUGGGAAUGCAGCUCAAAAUGGGUGGUGAAUUCCAUCUAAAGCUAAAUAUUGGCGAGAGACCGAUAGCGAACAAGUACCGUGAGGGAAAGAUGAAAAGCACUUUGGAAAGAGAGUUAAACAGUACGUGAAAUUGUUGAAAGGGAAACGAUUGAAGUCAGUCGUGUUCUUUGGAUUCAGCCAGUUCUGCUGGUCUACUUCCUUGGAACGGGUCAACAUCAGUUUUGUCCGGUGGAUAAAGGUAGUAGGAAUGUGACUUCUCCGGAAGUGUUAUAGCCUAUUAUCACAUACACUGGGUGAGACUGAGGACUGCAGCUCGCCUUUAUGGCCGGCCUUCGGGCACGUUCGAGCUUAGGAUGUUGACAUAAUGGCUUUAAACGACCCGUCUUGAAACCACGG